CACAAAGGAGGUGUGAAGAUAUGAUUCUAUGACAUAGUCUGUGAAAACUCAUAUGGCUAGAUCUGAAGACCUGGCUCAGCGGGUCCUGAGUUGAAUUCCCAGCACCGCAUCCAGUGAAUUCCAGGCCAGAUGGAGCUACAAAGUCCCCAUUUCUUGCCGCUGUCUUGAAUGCUGUGGAACACGUGGGAGGUGGAGCAUAACUGGUAGAAGCAUCACAUUAAGCCUAUGAAGGUCAUGCCACCCUUGGUUCCUCUCCAUUCUCUACCUGCCACCUCAGGAUCCCACUGCUGUGGCUUGGAACCAUUGCUACCCACCAUGCCUUGCUCCACAGUGAAGGACUGAGUUCUCUCUGAAACUGUGAGCCAAAAUAAAUCUUUGCUCUUCUGACAGUUGAUCAUCAUUGUCAAAGUGACUGGAUUUAGAAUCUCUGUGGAAAAGAUACCUCUGGGUGUGUCUACAGGGAUGCUUCCAGACGGCUUUAACAGAAGCAGGAACCUGAAUGUGGGCAGCAGAAUCCAUGGGCUGGGGUCCUGGAAUGCAUGAAAGGGGCAAGGGAGAGAAGAGAAGAGAA
rnacentral:lncRNA from 1 species